rfam:Myotis davidii contig157301, whole genome shotgun sequence.
GGCAGUUCUCGGGUGACACACCCAGGAAUCGGGCUCCUUUCUCUUUGGUCUGGUGCAUCACCCAAGGACUGCA